AUAUGGUCAAGCGAGAAAGGGUCUACGGGGGAUGCCUAGGAGCUGUACGACGAAGAAGGCCGUGGUAAGCUGCGAAAAGCCUCGGGGAGGAGCAAACAUCCGAAGAGCCGGGGGUAGCCGAAUGGGGUAACCUGAUGGUCUACAAUGGCCAUGACAUGCUGAUGAAGUGAGUAGUCAGUGUGAGGAAGACCCGGGGAACUGAACCAUCUCAGUACCCGGAGGAGAAGAAAUCAAAGACGAGAUUCCCUUAGUAGCGGCGAGCGAAGGGGGAAGAGCCCAAACCUACUGCAGCGAUGUGGUAGGGGUUGUAGGGCCGGGACAUAUAGAGUAAGAAACCACGAGCGUAGCGGAACGACACUGGGAAGGUCGGCCGAAGGAGGUGAAAGCCCUGUACGCGAAACGCGAGUGGCUCUGACCCGGUUCCUGAGUAGGGCGGGGCACGAGGAAUCCUGCCUGAAUCUGGGUGGACCACCAUCCAAGGCUAAAUACGAUACAGCUACCGAUAGCGCAUAGUACCGUGAGGGAAAGGUGAAAAGUACCCCGGGAGGGGAGUGAAAGAGAACCUGAAACCGUAGACCUACAAGCGGUCGGAGCAUGUCUUCGGACAUGUGACGGCGUGCCUUUUGUAGAAUGAGCCUGCGAGUUACUGUAGGGAGCGAGGUUAAGGGAUGGGAGUCCCGAAGCCGUAGGGAAACCGAGUCUGAACAGGGCGAGUAGUUCUCUGGAGUAGACCCGAAGCCGGGUGAUCUAUCCAUGGUCAGGUUGAAGCUCCGGUAACACGGGGUGGAGGACCGAACCCUAGUCUGUUGAAAAAGGCAGGGAUGAACUGUGGAUAGGAGUGAAAGGCUAAACAAACCCGGAGAUAGCUGGUACUCCCCGAAAUAGCUUUAGGGCUAGCCUCAGUGGGUAAGUGUAGCGGAGGUAGAGCACUGGAUGGGCUAGGGCCCUUCACCGGGUACCAAACUCAACCAAACUCCGAAUGCCGCUACAUGGUCGCUGGGAGUCAGACUGCGGGCGAUAAGGUUCGUGGUCGAGAGGGCAACAGCCCGGACCGUCGGCUAAGGUCUCGAAACUAUGCUAAGUGGAGAAGGAGGUGUGAGUGCGAAGACAUCCAGGAGGUUGGCUUAGAAGCAGCCAUUCCUUGAAAGAGUGCGUAACAGCUCACUGGUCGAGUACUCAUGCGCCGAGAAUAUAACGGGGCUCAAGCAUAGUACCGAAGCUGCGGAUUGGUCACCGAGAGGUGGCUAGUGGUAGGGGAGCGUUCCGUGUACUGAUGAAGGUGUGCCGGGAGGCAUGCUGGAGGGGACGGAAGUGAGAAUGCAGGUAUGAGUAACGAAAAGACAGGUGAGAUUCCUGUCCGCCGGAAGCCUAAGGAUUCCAGGGUUAAGGCAAUCUUCCCAAGGGUUAGUCGGCCCCUAAGGCGAGGCCGAAAGGCGUAGCUGAUGGGAAACGGGUUAAUAGUCCCGUACCUCUUAUAGUUUCGAGGGGAUGACGCAUGAGGCGAAGCGAGGCCAGGCGAUGGUCGUCCUGGUACAAGCGGCGAGUCUGAGAGGCUGCGAGGCAAAUCCCGCAGCUGAGGUGAGCCGUUAAGUCGAGCUGAACUACGGUGAGGCGAAGCACGUGGAGUCACGGUGCCGAGAAAGAAUCUCUAAGGGAAGGCUAUAAGGGACCGUACCGCAAACCGACACAGGUAGGCGAGAAGAGGAUUCGAAGGCGCACGGGAGAACUCGCGUUAAGGAACUCGGCAAAAUGCACACGUAACUUCGGGAGAAGUGUGGCCUGCUGUGGGAGUUAAAUCUUAUGGCAGGUUGCAGAGAAAUGGUCCAAUCGACUGUUUACCAAAAACACAGGUCUCUGCGAAUCCGUAAGGAGAAGUAUAGGGACUGACACCUGCCCGGUGCUGGAAGGUUAAGAGGAGGGGUGCAAGCUCUGAAUUGAAGCCCCAGUAAACGGCGGCCGUAACUAUAACGGUCCUAAGGUAGCGAAAUUCCUUGUCGGGUAAGUUCCGACCCGCACGAAUGGUGUAACGAAUUGGACGCUGUCUCAACGCGAGACCCGGUGAAAUUGAAGUAUCGGUGAAGAUGCCGGUUACCCGUGGUUAGACGGAAAGACCCCGUGAACCUUUACUGCAGCUUGGCAUUGGGACUUGAUCUAGCAUGUGUAGGAUAGGUGGGAGGCGAGGAGACGUGGACGCCAGUCUGCGUGGAGCCGAUGGUGAAAUACCACCCUUGUUAGGUUAGGUUUCUAACGCCGGCCGUGAAGCCGGUCGGCGGACCAUGUCAGGUGGGCGGUUUGACUGGGGCGGUCGCCUCCAAAAGAGUAACGGAGGCGCGCGAAGGUCACCUUACGCUGG
rnacentral:rRNA from 1 species